GGGCCCGCACAAGCGGUGGAGCAUGUGGUUUAAUUCGAUGAUACGCGAGGAACCUUACCAGGGCUUAAAUGGGAAAUGACAGGGGCAGAGACGCCCCCUUCUUCGGACAUUUUUCAAGGUGCUGCAUGGUUGUCGUCAGCUCGUGCCGUGAGGUGUCAGGUUAAGUCCUAUAACGAGCGCAACCCCUACCGUUAGUUGCCAGCGUGUAAUGACGGGGACUCUAACGGAACUGCCGGUGCAAACCGUGAGGAAGGUGGGGACGACGUCAAAUCAUCACGGCCCUUACGUCCUGGGCCACACACGUGCUACAAUGGCCGAGACAAAGAGUCGCAAGUUUGCAAAGACAAGCUAAUCUCAUAAACUCGGUCUCAGUUCGGAUUGUAGGCUGCAACUCGCCUACAUG
rnacentral:rRNA from 1 species